AUUUCAUUAAUUUGAAGAUAUAUUUGCUCCCUCAAAGAUGAAAAUGUUAAUAGAAAUGAGAGUUAAAGCUCACUGAGUUCAUUAGGCUCCCCAAUUCUCCUUUGUUUCUGAGUAACAUCUCUUAGAAGCAUUUCUUUUUCUACAAGAAGAAAGUAGAAAUAAAUCUAUUCAUUGCUAUUGAAAAACUGACUACAAAUAGCUGUGAGUAGUUUUGUUUGAGUUGUAUCUGGUAUGAAUGACAACUUCAAAAAGUAAUGUGUAAUGUUGAGCAUCCUCAUGGUUUCUAUGUUAAAGUUUCUAGUGAAUAGUUUAGAAGAUAGAAAUUGUACAGCUUAUAAACUUACUAAGGUUUUGUGCAAAAAAUUGGAGUGGUGUUUGAAUAAUUAGUUAAGGAUGUAAUGCAAGAUAAAUAAUAAACAAAAAUUUUGAUAAAAUCAAGUUUUUUUAUUCACUUUCACAGAACAAGAGAAAAUAUCACCUUUUUUUUUUUUUUUUUUUUCUAAUUUGAGUCUCCUAUCUUAAAGGAAAGUUAUUAUUUUCAUGAUCAUGGCUCAGCCACAGCUAUCUUAAACACUAAUGCUUUUCUCCAGUGUUUCAUGGAUUAUGAGUCCUUGGUACAAAAACUAGACUGAACUGGCUACUAAUUAUCUCCUCCUUGUUCUGCUGGGUCUUUCUGUAGCUCUUGUCACUACGAGACCCAGAUGACUUCUGAAAAUUUUCGUUGACUACAGAACUUCCUCUAAUUAAAAAAUAAAUAAAUAGAAAAAAACAAAGCAGAUUAAUUUCCAAGUAAUCCUUCUCUGUGAAAUCUUUUCAGUUCCAUCAGUUCUUUUGUCUAGCUUACAUGUUAAGUUAAGCAUAGGUAUUGAUAGUCACAUCAAACGGCGCUGUCAAGGUUAAAUAAGUAAUGGUCCUUCAUUUUAUUUUGUACAAGACCUGGAUUUUAUUCUCACACCUUUCCAUACAGUCAAAUUAUAUGGGUAUUUUGAUAGACAUGAUUAUUGAAGGAGAUCAUUAAAGAAGUUUUGAUCGAAGGCACUCUGGAUUGUAGCGACCAUACCCUAAAUGAGUUCACAAUCUUAGGGAAUAUGGCCCUGGCAAAAAGCAGAGUCAGAAUGUAGAACUUCAGGAGAGUGAACUCCUGGCUUUUUAAGGAAUUAUUAAAUUGGAUCCCCUGGAAGACUGUCCUUAAAGACAUAGUAAUGGAAUAGAGGUGGCAUCUCUUUGAAGACAUCUUUCUGAGAGGACAAAAGCUCUGCACUCCCGAGCGUAAGAAAUCAAGCAGAGAAGGCUGGAAACUGGUAUAACUAAGCAAGAAUCUGCUGGACAAACUCAAGGAAAUAAAGGAAAAGAACAGGCAGUGGAAGCAGGGACACACGGCCUAGGAAGAAAACAGGGAUGACAUCUGAACAUGCAGAGUUUCAACCAUCAGGAAAGCCAAAGUGAGUUCUUUGCCUCAGUCUUCCCAGUCAGUCAGGCUUCCCAUGCCUCUUACAUUCCUGAAUCUCUAGGCAGGGGUUGGGGUAGCAAUAUCCAAGCAAUAGGAAGUCAAAGAUUACCUCAUAAGACUGAAUGUGUGUAAGUCUAUGGGACUGAAUGGCAUGUACCCCAGGGACCUGAUGGAACUGGAUGAUAUGGUUGCCAAGGCACUCUCCAUCAUAUUUGAAAAGUCAUGGCUGUAAGGCAAAGUACUUAGUGACUGAAAAAAAAAAAGGAAGCAUCACUCCCAUUUUCACAAAAGGGAGAAAGGAAGACCUGGGGAACUACAAGCUAGUGAGCCUAAUCUCUGUUCCAGGGAAGAUCAUGAGGAGAAGAUUUUAGAAGCUAUGUCACAGGCACAUGUGAGUUGAGGAGGUGAUCUGAGACAGCCAGCACAGCUUCACCAUGGGCAGAUGGUGCCAGACAAAUCUGGUGGCCUUACAUGAUGGAGUGACAGCAUUGGUGAGAAAAAGAAGUGCAACUGAUGUCUGCUACAUGGACUUGUGUAAAGCCUUUGGUAUGGUUCCACAUCACAUUCUUAUCUCAUAAUUAUAUAGAUUUGACGGGUGUACUCUGGUGAAUUAAGAAUUCUUUGGAUGGUCACAUGCAGAGGGUUGUUGUUAAUGUUGCUGUGUUCAGGUGGCAGGUCAUGGGUGGAGCUGCUCAGUGGUCUAUCUUGUGUGACAGAACAAGGGGAAAUGGCUUCAGAUUUAAAGAGGGGAGAUUUAGGUUAGAUGUUAAGCAGAAAUUCUUUACUCAGAGGGUGGUGAGGCACUAGACACAACCAAAGAGGUUGUGGAUGCUCCAUCCCUGGAGACAUUCAAGGCCAGAUUGGAUGGGAUCCUGAGCAGCUGAUCUGGUGGGUGGCAGCCCUGAUCAUGGCAGGGGUUGCAACUACAUGAUGUUUAACAUCCCUUCCAAUCUUAGCCAUUAUGUGAUUAAUUCUAUAAUUAUUAUUCCACUAGAGAACAUGGAAUGGGAGACAAUAAGUAACUGGAUUAGUAAGGUGAUUUGCUAUAAAAUGCACACUUACUGAUCUGCAGUCUUACAUCCUCACAUCCAUUUGUUUUAAGUCCUGUAGUGACAGUAAUGAAAUAUAAACUGGGACCUCCUCACAUCAUUCUACAGCUAGAAGAAUAUAAAGCAGACAAUAACACAAAAGUCAAGCCCAUACAUGCAAAAUAUGCCUGCAAAUUUAGGACCUUCCAGUUCAGCAUAUAUAAAUUAGUCAUCUUCUGUUUUAGAUACAGAAAGGCUUUUCCCUCACAAGGCUAUAUCAUACUGUUAUGCUUGGCACAAAACACUGCCAGGAUAACUUUGGGAAGAUAUUUGAUUUUAAAAGUUUUUGUUACGAAUCAGACAAGUAAGCAAGAAAUCACAAAAUCACAUAUCACUCCUGAUUCUAAAUAAUUCAGUGUUUGGUACAAGGUAUUCUAAUAUCUUUAAAGAGUCGACUAAGUAUCAUUAUACUGUUGUGCAUUGCCUUGAAAAACAGAGCAGCAACUCAAAAUUGCAAAAAAAUAUAUGAGCAAAGUACAGAUGAAAAUGAGUCUCCCCAAAUUUUAAGAUAUUGAUUUAUUAUAUCAAAGUAGAUGAUUAAUUACUGCUGUCACAAGAGCUUUGUGCACAGAUACAAACUUAUGUAUGUAUGGAAAAAUCCCAUUUUAUCUUCCAGAGGAGAAAUAUCAGUUUUGUGACUGAGGAUAGCAGGAUUGGAUAAGAAUCAGUUUACAAUUAACUACUAUUUACCAUUUAUAUACUUUUUUCCUUCAUAUCUUUAUAAAUAUUUCAGAGACUUAUUUUUGUCCCUUCGCAUUUUCACCUUUGAAGAACUAUAUUUAGGUUCAGUGAAUGUCUGUAGUAAAAUCAGAUUUAGACCUAGUAUAAAUAAACAUCUGAAAUCUUCAAAACCUUCUACAUAUUGUGCUACACAUGUCUGUGAAGGGGGAGAGAGAAAUUAUGCAACUAAUAAAUGAUUUAAGAAUGUGAAAUGAUUUUGAAUUGGUCUGGUCAACAAGGAAAGCAGGCAUUUUUCUAAGGUAUCUAUCAUAUAAGUAUUGUAGAUUUUUUCCCACUUCUAUUGGCAGCUUCUCUUAGCCUGCUAUCAAUAUAUUCCUUUUGUUUGUGACACAAAAGGCUUCCCACUAUAAUUUAGCAGGUUUUAUUUUCAAAGAAAAAUCUUGCAUUCUUUCUCUCUCCGUGUAUGCAUAACCUUUAUGAGGAAAGCUUUUACUUAGUGGGUGUUUUUUUGUUGUUUUGUUGUUGCUGGUUUUUUUUUUUUUUUUAAUUUCACAUUUACUAAUAAUAUGCUUUUCAGAAAAAGUAGGUGCUUUUACAGCAUCAUACAAGUGCUAUGUUUUGAAGGAGCAAUAUAGCAGUAUGUAUCUUUUUGCCCUUUGAUGUAAAUUCGUGAGGAAGAUAGAUUAUAGCAUCAAGAUGUUUCUCUGUGAGUAAUAAACUACCGAGCACAAAGUUCAUGGCUGAGAAUUGUGUGGGAUACAAGUGACUACCUUCACUACAAUCAAUUAUUAGGAUGAUUAUAUUGUGUCUGGAGAAUAUGAUGCUAAUGACUAGCUAACGUUUAGAAUACACACUCUUGACUUGAAAACCAAUGACAGUUAAAUGCAGCAAAGGGAAAGGCCUAUAUGUUGAGCUAGCAGCUCUCUAGUGUUGAUAAUGAAUAAUUAAAAAUAACAGUCUUUAUGUGUGGCUUGACAGUAUACAUGUCCUUUUAGUAUAUUCCGCUUUGUAAAGAACUUGGCACAAUGACAGCCAAAGAAAGGCAUCUUACCGCAUCCUGUACAGAAACUGUAUAGGAAAGCAGGGAGUUAAACACCCUCACUGCUGGGAGGGCCUAAGCAGGAUUAGCUAUGUAUUUACUGCUAACCUUCUACUACUCUGUCUUCUAAACAAAUAAAUAAUUGAAACCCAUUAUGUCUUUUAGGGGAGUUGCUCACAUGCUUUCUAUAUUCACAUCAAAGCAGAGAUCAGUGUCAAAGAGGCAGCCACAUUUAGCUGAGUCUCUCGGAGACUACUGAUUAAUUAGUUUUGCAUUUUGGAAGUGCAUCCAAAGAUGUAAAAUAGCGUUUGUUUUUACUAUUGCCAAAACUUGUUUAGGAGCUCUCUGGAGGGUGACGGUGAUGUACUCAAGAUGGUUGUGAAAGAAAAGGGCAUACAGUUCAGGUGCCAGAAAUCUCCAACCCCUUCCCUCCCCCCCCCCCCCCCCAUUUCCCCCUUAAGUUUCUGCAUGAGUGUCCAGAGGGAGUGCCUAAAUGAAAGGCGUGCUGGUAUCGAUGGAAGGCAAGAAUUGGGUGAUAAUAGAGAUAUCAACAUUUCCCUUAAUCAAGACAGUAUAAAAUGAAAGUUAUAAAAGGACGGAUAAUUCAGUUCUUAAAAACCAAAUUAAAAUAUUGUCUUAGAUAAGGGACAUGUAAGAUCUGUAAAUCCUGUUUAAAGUGUUGUCGUUUUAAAGUUUUCAUGUCUUGGUUAUUGCAUAACUUUUUUCUUUAUAUACUGAAAUGUGGUAAUAUGAGGUAUGGGGGGUACUCAGUUAUGGCAAAUAUUGCCUACAAAAGUGUGUUCAUGUUAUUUGCCUUUCUGUCUCUGUCUAUAUCAACUCCACAUGCUGCUCUGGUGGCCUGCUUUGUACUUAAUAUAACUUGUCAAAACACAUCUAUCAGAUAUAUGAAAAGGCAAACCUGGGUGGCCAGACUAGUCCAAGCCUGGCGUGGAUUGCAUUUUACCAAGACCACAGAAAUCUCUUUCCUCAAUGCGAUUAAGAUGAAAAGCAGAGUUCAUUGUUGUGCAACCAGAUUUUAAAAUAAUUACAUACAUGCUAGUGCAUUAGUAGGCCAUUUGUGUUUAUUUGAAUCCUACAUAUUGUACUUUUAUGUGGAUCUUAAGUGAUUUUUAAAGCUGUCAGUAAAAAAAAAAAAAAAAAAAAAAAAAGUGAUGUUAUCACUUGUUUUAGGUAGCUUUGUUUUGUUUUUUUUUAAUCCCUUCCUGUUUGCUUCUGUAUACUGAGCUGCUACAAUCCCAGUACCUUAUCUCUUUCCAAGAAAGGUGAGUAUGUAUUACCCUUUGGCUAUUGACUGACAGACUUCUGGCUGUUCUUUGAACCACAGCUAAUGCCACCACAAUAUCUUACAUAUAUGACAUGCUCAGUGUUCACCCUCUGAUUGCCUGAGAACACAUGUUAUAUGAUACAGGCAGGAACGCUGCACAUGGAAUGAAACUCACAGGUUUAUUCUUCUGCUUUCAAUACCUUCUCAUCCUGAAUGUAUAUUGCAGAAUGUAAAUAUGCUUGGUUCAGCAUAUUCACCGAUUUUACAAGUUUUUCCUUCAAAUUUCAAAGUUGAAGUCCUUUUAGGGAAAUCAAGAGUUGCAACAGCAUUAAAACCCUGCACCCCAUACAGCUCAAUUUACAGCAUAUUUAUGCUUACCUUUCCAAUGCACAGGUGGAACAAACUAUUUUAAACAUGACUUUCUGAAGAAAUUUUUGCUUGGAUUUCUCAAAGGAGUCCAAAAUCAUAUUGAAUUUAUGAGCUGAAAAUCACUUCCUCUCCAACCAACAUGGGACACAAUCAUUCUAUAAAAUUGUUGCAGCCUGGGAUCUCCUUGGAAGUGCAAAAUGUGCAAGAGAAUGACCAUGAAAAUAUAUUAACAUUUUUAUCCUGUUUGAGCUGCUAUUACACUUGCAUUCAAAGAAAUGCCUGAAGCACAACUAUUCCGGCACAGCUAGAAUCCUUACAGUCUUAGCUUUCCACAGUCUCAGACUGCAGAGUGAAAAGCAUUGAAAAACACAAGUUUCAUUAAGAAAGAUAACCCUUACCUUCCAGGAGGAUGUAAACUGAGUUUCUACCCGCUGGAGGGACAGGGGCCUGCAGGAGCACAGUGAUACCCAUCAGUGCUUCAGAAUAGUUCCACAUUCUCCUGGCUCACUGGGUGGCUUGGCUUCAAGUGUUGGUUGUAAAGUUAAGGAUUAUCAUUGAGGGCUCUGUAUUUGUGUAAGCGAGGAGAAGAGAGGAAACUGGAGGCAUCCUGCCAAUAUUCUCAAUGCCUGUAUGCUAACUCCACUGGAGGAGAGCAGUGUGAAUGAACUGCUUAGGAGUGGGUUGCAGGAUAUCAUUGUAGUGACACCACAGGCAGAAAAAUUGACACUCAGAGGUAACUUCUUUAAGCUUGGUGGAGACAUAAUAAAGUGGAGUUUUGCUGGCUGUACUGGCACUGAGAGAGUCAGCAGCAAUCAUCUUUCUUCUAAUAACCAAAUGUGCUGAACACAAGCUGGUUAUUGCAAACACAAUUAUUCAGUAAUUGGAUAAGCCUAAAAUAUCUUGGAUACAUCCUUGAUCCAAGAGCUGGCAGCUCACUGAUUAUAUCAUUGUUUGGCAAAGAGGCCUGCAGGCUGCAGGACUCAUAAGAUCCAUACCCAGAGCAGACUGCUGGACCCACUAUCAUGGAAUAGGUUCCAAGUUACUGAUUCAACUACAUUGUUGGAGAACUGGCACAAAUCCUGCUAGGCAUAGACACAAAAUGCUUUAAAGAUCUAAAUAUUAAAGAUCUAAACACUAAACAAGAGCUGUGUAACAGCAUUCUUUCAAGGCUUGCCCGCCCAGGAACAUGAAACAUGCACAAGGUGGUGAAGGAAAAGAGUGGUAGGACUAUAUGGCAUACUGAGGUACUGCUGAUAGAAUUGGUUUUGUCAGAAGUCAACAUCAGAAACAGUUUGAUAUCUCAAUCAAAAAUUUUACUGAGGAAAAUGAAACCAAAUCAAAUCAAAAUAACAAAAACAAAAACAAAAAUGACAGAAAAAAACAGACUUAGCUUAUUUUCUGCUUUCUCAUUCUAGAACAAAGAAAAUAUAUUAGAAAAGCAUUAGUCCUAAAGAACAGACAAAAACUGAAGCAGUCAUAAGCUCAGCAAUAGAGUUAGGAAGCUCAUGAAAUUCAGUCUUUUUCAGACCAAUGUAAUAGAAUAAGGAAAAGUGCAGCUAAAGAUGAACAAUGAUUACAUAAUUUGACGAGGCUGGACUAGGAAGCUAUUACUACAGCUAAAUGAGAAGCUAGGCAGAUGAAAACAGAUUUAGAUAAAAUAAACAUAUACGGGCUAUAAACAUAUAGGGCUACUCUAAGAGUAAUGCCUCCUAUUUUAUCAUGUUGACCUACAAUAUCAGAUGUGAUUGUUGGUGGUUUGACAGUAGAGAUUGAAUCUUCCUGACUGUAUUCCCCUACAUUUUGUUGCUGUGCAACAGAUGGCAGCAGAGGGGCAGUCUGACAAAAUGGCGUCUGACGUGGGAGUGUGUAUGGAUUGAAGGUGUGUCACUGAAUUCCUCUAUGAGAAAAUAAUGACCCAUGGACAUUCACUGAUGCUUGCUGAACAUUUAUAGAGACCAAAGAUUGGACGUGAGCACUGUGAGGUGGUGGAUGGUGCAUUUCAGCAGUGUCAACAUCAACAGUGGGUGGGUGCAGAUUUCUGCUAGCGUGGCAUACAGGCUCUUGUUCAUUGCUGGUGGAAAUGCAUAUCUAAUGGUUGUGACCAUGCUGAAAAGUAGUGUUUUGUAGCUGAGCAUUUGCUCUGUCAAACAGUGUUAUUGUGCUUUUUGCAUCCGUUGCAGUUUCUAUGAAAAGAAAUAGGAGGCAUUACUGUUGGAGUGACCUACAUAUGUAAGCAUCUCUGAAAUACUUAUUUUCCAUUUAUAAGUGAGGGAAGAUAUCUUGAGUUCAAUAAAUAUUGAAGGCAUCUUGUGAUAGACAUAUAUUUCAAUACCUAGGGCAGUUGACAAGUUUUUAAGCCCCACCUGUUUUAGACCUCCAAAAGAUUCAACAAAUGGUCUCAAUUUGGAUAAAAAUUCAAAUGUCCUAGCAAAGUUUAUUCAAUGUAGACAGUACUACUCAAGUGUGUAGGUUCAUAUCUCAAUUAUUCUGUGUGAACACAGGAAAUGGGUCCCCUUGCCAGGCAAGGUAUAGUCCUCAGUGUAAGGUUGACAGAAUCAGGAUUUUAGCACGACUGAAAGCUGAUAGUAAAACAGCUUUAUCUGACUUUUUAUCUGUAGUCAUCCAGGGCUAUCAUGCAGUAGCUUCAGAAAAGGUUUCUAAGCUUUAAUCAUUGUCUUCCAGGCUGUAGUCUCUGUCUUAUUUGAAAUAGCUAUCUUCCCCUGAGUGACUUGUCUGGUUGCAUUUGUGGUACCUGACCUACUUUGCAGCACUUCCCUCGGUACCACCUCAUAAUCUGAUGGCCCAAGAAAACACUGUGAAUUGAAACUCACUCCCAAUAAAGGACAAUAAUUAAAUAAAAAUAAAAACACAUUUGACAGCCCACAACAAAGGCAAAUCUCAACAGCUUUUGCAUGUGUCUGCCUGCUGAAUCAAGCAGUAGUUCCUGUCCCCACAGUGCUGCAGGAUGAUGGAUCACCAAAAUGACAAAAAAUCAGAGUAAUAUUUUGCAGUGUAUUCUUUCUCCUCUCUGGAAUCUUGGAGAACAUCAGACACAUUAAUUAAUCAUCUCUAUUUUCCUGAGGUUUACUGUUAGACCCGUUUAACAGGUGGGUAAACCACUGCACAAAAGUGUUGUGACUUGCCUUCUCUGAACUCUACACCUACAUUGGGUCAUGAUGCUCCAGCACUCCAGGCUUUAUUUAGAACAACUCUGUCAUUUCUUUAAUGGUAGGCAAUUUCCCUUCCUUUAGGAUGGAUCUUACAUCCUCACGAUUUGCAAUUUAAAUAUCAUGGGAGAUGAAUGAGUCAAUGGUAAAAUUCCCAUUGAGUUUAAGGAGUGUAAGGACAUGAGAUUUAUUUCUGAAGAGCUUGUGUGCUUGAAAGCAUUUGUUUUUCAUCUCCCCUCUGGCCCACAGUGUUAUUAACCAGUUAAAUAACAGGUGUUGCCUCUCCUAGCAGAUUUGUCCCCUGAUUUGAGCUUUGUGCAACCAGAUUGUCACUCACUUAGCAGAAGACCACAUCAAAUGUGGAAAGGAAAGGUUACUGCCAUUUUAUACAGUACAGUGAAAUAAUUUCCAGUUUCAAUUUUGAAUACUGUUUUGGUCACUUAAACUUUGUUAAUCAAUGAGUUUGUAUUGCAGUAUGAAAGAACAUUCCCGUGGAGGUAAGAUUUCUAAACUUGCACCUGUACCUGAUAGGAUAACAACUAUGGCACCAAAUUACGCCAGCUGAUUGCAAGCCUGUGUCAUGUACCAGUAGAAAUUACCUUAAGCUUUUUCAGCUUUACAGAUUUUCCUAUAGUGAGGCCAUUCUAUUAAUCAGGGGAUAACACAGUAGUUUCUGCCCAUAGUGUGUGAGCUGCAAUCAAUGGCAUACAAGAUUUCAAAAGCCAUAUUCCAGCAGCUUUCUCACCAGUCACAAGUGUAUGGAGAAAAGUCAUGUGUCCUUAAUCAAACAAAUUAGUAAUGUAGAGUUUAUUUCCACUUGGCGCCAAAAUAGUGAGGACAUUGGCACUUCUCUUCUCCUUCUGUUGUCUCUUUGGCUUAUUUUCUUGUGCCCAGUGUUAGAUGACGGUAGACGCCAGUUUCAGCUCACAGUCUCCUGGACAGUGCCUAGGACAGCUUUCACAAAGAAGAAGGGGGAAGGGGAGAAGCUCACAUGCUGCUGUGUUACCCUUCUUCAUCCCUAUGGGAUUGCCUCUUGUUCUACUGCAGACCUGAGAGGCUGCCUUUUCACUCAGUUGAUUUAAUUUAAUUAGCCUCUGUGAAGCAGAGAUUUAAAGUUGCUAAACCAAAGCUUACAAGAAUCCAGUUGACAAAAUGCAAGGGACAAAAUCAAAAGCUAAUUUUUUGCAAAGUUCACUGUGGACCAGCGUGAAAUACAUGGUAAAGAUCAAAAAGUCUUAGAUAUUUGUCAAGAAUAUGAGGCUUCAAAGACAGGGUAAUUUAGCUUAAUUCUGAAGAGCAUUAGCAGACCCGCAAUAAAGAAUUAAAUCUUGUCUCUUGUGCUUCAGUUAGAUUUUCAGAUAUGCAGUUCUGUAAUUCAGCAAAAUACCACACAGUAUGUGCAAAAUAAUAAUAAAAAUAUUCCUUGACCCAUUUUCUUAAGCUUUAUUCCCAAUUAUCUUUGUUGCUUCUGAAAAGGUUAUUUUUUAUUUCAGGUAUUGAAAUAUCUACAGCUGUUAUACUUCAAAAGUUCCUCCUAUUUUAAAAUAAAUUACAUUUUCUGUUUUUUUUUUCCCAUUUAAAUCUAUCAAUUUUUUAUUGUAUCCAGUGUGUUCUUCUCUCUCUGAUAUUAGCUCUUUUAAUUUACUUCAGUUGACUCAUUUAUUUUCUUGCUAUCUUCUGAGGUUUGUAACAGUACUAACUGGUCAAUCAAAACACAGCAGGAGCUAAACUCUUCACCUUCACAACUGACAUUCUUUCCUCUUUAGAAGAAGCCAAAUCCUGGCUUCUUCUUUUACCUCUGUCUUCGUGAGGUUUUGGAAACAGUGUCUAUAAUCCUAGAUUCCACACAGCCCCAAUAAUUCCUUAUUUGUAUAACCUCACCAAGGUUGAAGGAUUAAGUGGAUCUCUCUCUCUCACAAGAAUACUUUGUGGAUCCAACUGAGCUGUGUUGAACUGAAAAGUCAUGCUCUAGAAAAUGUGUUUCUUACUAUACAGUCCUUUUCGUGUUACAUUUUACUCUGAGAAGUAAUAAAUUAAGAGCCAGUGACUGUUCAGUAAGUCAAAAAGGAAGAUAAAUAAAACAAUAAUUUAUCAAAUAUUAACUUAUAUUUUUUCUUAUUUUAAGCAUGCUUUUCUGAAAUUCUGGAAGCUGAAUGCUCUGUUUUGUCUACUCUAAUUGAUUUCAUUUUUAUCUCAUACUUUUCAUUGUGGAGUCUAUCAUGCUUCAUCUAAUUCUGAAUGUGGAAAUGAUUGUGAAAUUAACACGUUAGACCAGUACAGCAAACUUGUCUCUCUCUCACAAGCUGCUGCACUCAGUCACUCAGUGCCUUUCUCUCAGUUGAAUUAUGCAGUGGUCAACUCUCUUCCAUACAAUGGGUUUUGCAAGACUGCUGAAUGGAUGUUUUUGGCAUGGUCUCAUUUAGCAGAUAUUCCCAUGUGGUUUCCAUGCAUCCCCAUACUAAUGCUGUUCUCUGUGUAAACACAUGGAUUGCAUUACUCGAUGCCCUUUUGAUCUAAACAUAAAAUAAAUUUUUUUUUUAAAUAUCCCAAACUAAUAAGAAGUCGGAUUUCAUUUCAAGCUACUGGGCAACAGCACAGUUUCCCCUCUUAUGGAUCUUUCACCUGUGGCUACAAUCCUAGAUGCAUUCUGAAUCACUCUUUUCUCUUCUGCUGGCACUGGCUCUUCCCUUGAAUUUAUGUGUGUGUCUGUGUGAUUUUUCCCUUACUCUUAUUUUCUGGCUUCAUAACCUCCCAUGAGUCUUCAACCACUGCUAAAAAAUGCCUGCUUGCUUCUGCUGGGUGGGAAAACAUUAAAACACUGGGAAGGAUGGUCAUUCUCUCUUUGCCAGCCUGUUUUUUUGAGGCAGAUUCCCCACUGGUGUAAAUAGCUGAGCUUCUAUGAAUUCAUGUUACUUACACUGAGGAUCUGGGCCUUUGAUUUACUUUUCCCAGCUGUAGCCAUACUGGCUUGUUCAUUUACUUUUAUAACUGUGCCAUUCAAUUCCAUCUGAGCACUACUAUGGUGCUGUGAUUUAGCUUAGACCCUACUUAACACAAAAUUUAUUAUCUUGAUAGAUAAAUGAUUACUGUAUACUAUUUCUCCUAAUAACUUGCAUACUUCUGAUAACAUAAUGUGUUGAGCACAUUGGAUGCAGAAUGGUCCCAGGUGCUUUAUAACAUAGUAUAUGAGCUAUAUAGGAAGAUAACUUUGCUCCCUACUGAAAUGCAGCCAUCUCUGCUGUGAAGCACACAUAACCACACUGCAGAAAAUGUUGGGAUGCAAAGUCGUGUCCAAUUGAAACUGCAAGGGGAAUUUUGUGUAAGUAGAAUAUAAUUACCCAAGCUGGAUGUCAGCCAGGAUUCAGGGAACACCCUGGAUUUUGGAGGAACUGCCAAUGGGAGAUGGAGAUGUUACUACAGGCAUACAUGUUCUCAUUUCUUGAUUAAUUCCAAGAGGAUAAGUUGUUGUCUUUUAAUUUCCUCUUUACUGCUUAUCUUUUUUUUUUAUCAGCUGCUCUUUCUGUAGCCUUAUUAUGCGUCAUGUUCUGAUUUCUCUCUUCUUACAUUUCCUCUCUUACAUUUCACACAUCCCAGUGUUCCCCCCCUCCCCAAACAUUCUUUCAUCCAAAGUCCUAGCAAAAAAGACAAAAUUAUCUGUUUACAUCAUGUUGCUGAAUAAAAUGUUUGCUAUAUGAGGGUAAUAGAUUUCUCCAUAUAAGUACAUACAGAAUUUGCAGAAUCAAAAAUAGUAAAGUAUGUUUGUUAGUUUGUUUUUCCCCUUGAUACUUAAUUUUCUCCCCUCCUUGCCAAGAUCAUGCAAUUGAAGAAUGGUGAAAUACUCUAAAUGUUGUGUCCAUACCAAGACCUCCCCACACACAACCCUCUCCCAAACUGCUUGAGGCUUACACUCAAAUCAUUGUCAGAAACUUUCAACUAGGAAAGGGCUUGAUGCUGGAAAGCCAUGUGAUACUGAGGUGAAUAUAGGAAGUCAGAAAAAUGAACUCUAUAAUUCUUCAUUUCGCAGUAUAAAGCAGAUCUCCACUGGCUCCUGAGCCAUAGCGCCAGGGUGCCUUGGCAGCACACUCUGGCACAGCUAACCUUGGGCAAGGCUUUCACUCCAAAACAUGUCACUGAGUGUCAUGGGCUGUAUUUCAGUGUCUGCUCUACCAGUGAUCAACUGUCCAACACUUUGUUAGAGGCUUAGACCAACUUGAGAGAUUUGGAACAAUCUUUGGAUUCCAUGGGCAAGGACUCACUGUUCAGAGUGGCUGGGAUUACUGUUUGUAUGUUUGUGGAAAAAGAGGUCUCCUUCAUCUGCAGGCAUCAAAAUCUUGGUAAAAAUGAGAAUCUGCUCCCUUAUCUUUCACAGUAACUAUUAAAUAUAUGAAACAUUUAGUGGACAGUAUGCUGGCUGACCCGUGUCUCUCCCGCUCAAAGUAGCAUGUUCCUCUUUACUCUAAUGCAAUUUUUCACUCUACUAAGUGAAAUCAAAUGUCAAAGUUCCCUAAACUUUGCUGGCUGAAAUGUGAAUUUUUCUCCUAACUUUGUUGCAACAUUGUCUCACUUUCUGUGUGAAAUGUUCCACUGUAAUCAAAGGCUGAUGAAAUAUCAAGGCUCGAUUAAUUAUUAUAGUGCCUAGCAGCAGUGCUGGAGUUGGUGGGUGGAGAACUCAUUCCUUUCAAUUUUGCAUUGAGAUCUAUCCUGUAACAUGAGUUCUCAGGUCAAGAUCUCAACAUAUACUUUGUGGAGAGUUUCAUUCAAUCUUCACACAUUAGGAGAUGUGCUCUUCAAUAUCGAUACAGUCCUAAAGUAAAUGUUUAUUUGUUUUACUUUGAAUACCAUCCCCUUUUUUCCCUUACCUGUGCACCUUGAAUCAAUUUGAAAUUUUAGAGUUAAUGUUGUGUUUGCUGAACUGAUUGUCAGAUGGUUUAUGUGCGCAUGAUGAAUCCCUAAUAAAUUGUCAACUAACCAUGCAACCAUGUGAGUGAAGGGGAUGAUGGUUACAACACGAGCUAGUGUAUUUUAGAAUGAAAAAUAGAAAAAUCUUGUCAGUAUGUCCUUCUUGUUCUUGAAGCAAGAGAGAAUCAGAGCUUUCCUUUUGGCUGGAGAUUCGGCAGAUGUUCAUUUUAGUGUACUUAAUUAGAUGCAUUGUCAGAUACUGGCAUAAUCUCUCUGUUUUUUUCCAUCUGAUCUCAAGUGACCGCAACUGUUCAGGGCUUUGGUUUUCUCUGAUCUAAAUGAUUGCAGCUCAAGCACCAGAGUGUCCCCAAGCACCAUGCUGGGAGGCUGGCUCCGCACUGACUCAGAGGGAGCAUUCCCAUCUAGCUGACUCACCAGCACUCAAGUGCACUGCCAGCGAUCCAGAUACUAAACUGAUCCUAUCCUCCAUCAUCAUGGGGAGGGGGAGGGAGAACAGAUAAAUUCUUAAAAAUGAAAUACUGAUGGUACUUAGUGCAUCAAUUGGGCCAUUUUGCCAUAUGCAAGAGACCAAACAAAACAAUUUAAAUGUCCAAGUUAUUCAAGUUUGUAAAGCACAUGCUGUGAGAGUUUCUGCUUUUUUUUUUUUGUUGUUUUGUUUUUUUCCCAUAGGGUUAUUUAUUACAUAUUGCAUCCAGACAAAUUCGUUGUCCUUUCAAUGGGACUGCACAAGUAGGGUUUUCAAACUUAAUUUUUUCCCCUCUAUCUAGACUCUGUGAAAUGUAUGUGAGGAGAGAGUUUGUAUAGUCAUUAUCUUUUAUUAGAUUAACUGAUACAGUUGGUAAAAAACAAGCUUUAAGGCAAAUAAGCUCUUCAUCAGGUUUCAAAUCAUGUAAAGGCAGCAAUGGAAAAGAGCAUACAAUAUGAUUUACUAUUAUUUUUGGGUUUGUUUUCAUGUUAGGUUUGUAAAGUUUCUUUCAAUGUAACAAAUACUGCAUUUGUAGCAGUUUUUUUGUUUGUUUGUUUGUGUCAGAUGCUUUUAUGGUCUACAGAACAAAAAACAAAUAAAAAAAAUAAAAGAAGAGAGAGA
rnacentral:lncRNA from 1 species